CGGGAUAUAGCUCAGUUGGUAGAGCUUGCCUUGCAUGCACAAGAGCCUGGGUUCGAUCCCCAGCACCACAU
rfam:Ictidomys tridecemlineatus contig068973, whole genome shotgun sequence.